AAAAAGACACAAUACCCCCAUCUUACUUUAUUAAGACGAAUGACUAUGCAGUAUGGUCUGUCUUAGUGCCCAUUAGCUAGCCUGACGGAAAAAUCAACCACUCUUAUUAAUAACCCCAUAAAUAGUACUCUCAUUAAUUAAAACAUUUUUCCCCCCUAGUAAGAGCGACUGAAAAGGGUCCUAGAGCUACAAAUAAUGUACCGCAAGGGAAAACUGAAAGAGUGCUUAAAAAGCUCAGUAAAGUUCAAAGAAGCAAAGAUUAACACUUGUACCUUUUGCAUCAUGAUUUAGCUAGACUCCUUAAGCAAAGCGCCCUUUAGUUUUAAGCCCCGAACCUGAGCGAGCUACUCCUGACCUGCCUAUCAUCUAGGGCUAACCCUCCUUUGUAGCAAAAAAGUGGGGAGAGUCAUGAGUAGAAGUGACAAACCUAUCGAGCUCAGUUUUAGCUGGUUUUCUGGGAAAUGGAUAUUAGUUCAGCCUUCCACCUUCUUAAUUUACCCCUAAUUUUUUAAAUACACUAUUAAACCCAAGAAGCUAGGAGAGUUAGUCAAAGGGGGUACAGCCCCUUUGAAACAGACACAACUUUUAUAGGGAGGACUAAGAUCACAUACUAAAAGGGAAAAAUAUUAAGUGGGCCUAAAAGCAGCCAUCCGUGCUAGAAAGCGUCACAGCUCUGCCCUGAGACUUCCCCAUUAUUCUGAACACCUCCUCUAAAUCCCCCUGCACCUACCAGAAAAUUUUAUGCCCACAUAAAAGUAAUUAUGCUAAAAUGAGUAAUAAGAGGGUUUGUAAGCCCUCUCCUUUAUACCCUUGUAACUCGGAGCAGACCACCUACCGUGAAUUAUGCGACCCCAAACAAAGAGGGCCAAAAGCACUAGACUUAAUUGCAAGAAAAAUACUAUAAUAUAUAUCGUUAACCCUACACUGGAGUAUAAUCAAGGAAAGACUGAAAAAGGCGGAAGGAAUUCAGCAAACACAAGCCUCGCCUGUUUACCAAAAACAUCGCCUCUUGAUCCCCCCCCCCCCCCCCUAAGAGGUCAGACCUGCCCAGUGAUAUUAGAUUAAAUGGCCGCGGUAUUUUGACCGUGCUAAGGUAGCGCAAUCACUUGUCAUUUAAAUGAAGACCAGUAUGAAUGGUUCAACGAGGGCUAAACUGUCUCCCCCCUUUGGUCCAUGAAAUUGAUUUCCCCGUGCAGAAGCGGGGAUAGACACAUAAGACGAGAAGACCCUGUGGAGCUUAAGAUAAACUUAUGCACCAAGUCAAUAAGGCCUAUAACACUAGACAAACUAAUUGACCCCCGUAAAAUAUUUUUGGUUGGGGCGACCCUGAGGAAAACAAAACCCCCAUGUGGACUAAAGACACCUUAAUACUAUAUUUUCUAAUCCUUAAAACCCAGAAAGCCAUUUCAAAUUAGCAGAAUUUCUGACCUGCAGGAUCCGGAAUUACCGAUCAACGAACCUAGUUACCCUAGGGAUAACAGCGCAAUCCCCUCCUAGAGCCCUUAUCGACGAGGGGGUUUACGACCUCGAUGUUGGAUCAGGACAUCCUAAUAAUGCAGCCGUUAUUAAGGGUUCGUUUGUUCAGCGAUUAAAGUCCUACGUGAUCUGAGUUCAGACCGGAGUAAUCCAGGUCAGUUUCUAUCUAUGAAAUUUUUCCCCCCAGUACGAAAGGAUCGGGCGGAAAAGAGCCCCUACUUGAAGCAUGCCCUAUUCCAAACUUAUGAUUGACUAUAAAAUAGAUAAUGCAAAUUUUUUAAUUGUUAUAUAUAAAAACAGUAUAAAAGAAAAUAAGACAGAAAUUAAUAUAAAUCAAUUCAAUUUACACCAAACACUUACUUAAACCGAAUCACUUUUUAGCAUAUUGCUAGUACCUA
rnacentral:rRNA from 1 species